rnacentral:rRNA from 1 species
UACAGAGGAUGCAAGCGUUAUCCGGAAUGACUGGGCGUAAAGCGUCUGUAGGUGGCUUUUUAAGUCCGCCGUCAAAUCCCAGGGCUCAACUCUGGACAGGCGGUGGAAACUACCAAGCUGGAGUACGGUAGGGGCAGAGGGAAUUUCCGGUGGAGCGGUGAAAUGCGUAGAGAUCGGAAAGAACACCAACGGCGAAGGCACUCUGCUGGGCCGGCACUGACGCUGAGAGACGAAAGCUAGGGGAGCGAAUGGG